rnacentral:ncRNA from 1 species
CGCUGACGGGGGUAACUCUGGCAGUGAUUAAGCAGAAGUCAGCAGACGGCAUAGUAGCCCAACGGUCAGCGUAAUGGCUGAUACAUGGUGAAGGCC